CACUGCAGCCUUCUUGGCAGGUAAAGCAGUAAUGUGGCAGUCAUCCUUCAACUUGUCAAAUGGUUCCAGGUAUUCUUGCAGAUGUCAUCUUCAUUUGUCUGAAGCCAUUUACUUUACAAUGACAAGAAGAGAAAAAAGAGCAGAGCUGGGACAGAAGAACUGAACAGAAAAGCGGUGUGUCUGUUGGUAAACAGCUUUAUAGGAUUACAUGCAACUUCUAGUGAGUAUUAUGAGCUGUAGUUAGCUUCAUUUCUACUGAAGUUGAAGGAGUGAAUUGGUCUUUCUGCUAGCAGUUGAGAAACCAAAAGUAUUUCACUGGCAUUUUGCUGUUUAAUGUAAGAAUUUGGAUAUCAAGAACCAAAAAUAACAGAUUGUUUGUCUUUUGUCUUUUUGGUAUUUUAACGGGUGUGCUCCCUAACUCCUGACAGAACUGAAACCACUAGAAGUGAACAAGAGACAGCAGUGCUUGGAGUCCCCUGGUAAAGAAAGUGCAAAGCUUCACUUAGAAGUUCAAUGGGAAAGAAACAAAGUGGGAUGAUAAGUAUGAAUGAUGAUUCAACUGAUGAUGGAUUGGCCCACACUGUGAAAAUUAAGGGUGCUCAGCCCAGUUACUUUAAAGGCUUGGGUGUAAAGACUGGAAGUCUCGUACAGAACACUCUGCUCUUCAUUGAUCAUAAGUGAUGGAAAGUAAACAUCUUUUCUCAGUGGGUGGAUCAAAUGUGAGACAGCAAGGUUUGAGCUGCAAAAUCUAUAAAACAAAAACACUAAGCCCCAGAGCUUGGGCUGACAAAAUUGGAAUCCACAGUCUCAUAAAGCUAGUGUGACAGGCAAGCAGAGGAGCAUCAGGACCUCCUUUUCACACUGGAAUUAAAGCCCCAAGCCUGGAAUCUUUCUUGCACAGAAGUCCAUCUUAUAUCCUGCAAAGACAAAGACACCUGUUUUCAUUUAUAAUGUACUAACUGUAUGCGCCAUUUUUUCUUGGCUAUCCCUUCCCAUUUCCUAGGGGUUCCAAUUCAGCUUGUCAGCAAUCUCAAGAACACCGAAAUGAAGAGGAAAAAGCAGGGAAAAGCCUGCCUGGAGUGUGUGCUAACUCCUUGGAGGUGUCACCCUGAAGGGGAUGAAGAAUGGAUGAGUGAGAGGCCUCCUGAGUACACCAGGAGGCAAGAAGGGAAGAGAGCAGAGCUUACCAUUUAAUGCUGCUGAGCUGAGUGACUGGGGAGGUUGCACAGUGAUCACAGGAUGCAAAAGACAGUGACCCUCAUGGGCAGUACAGCAAUGCCAGUGCAGCUGUGGGAGUGACCCAUGGGACUUGGACUUGACUGCAGUCUUCUGAGGACCAGCAACACAACAGGAGGCUGGUUUGAUCUGACUGAAGAGACUGAAGAGCCACACGGUGGUUUGUGCUGGGACAGCACCAUGCCUUCGCACAUCUUUUCUGUGAGCUUCUGUGGUGUGUCUGUCAGAGUAGAAAUCCUGCAAAUUAGUGUUUUCUUGGGCAUCUGAUGAAAUACAGCUGCGGGGUUUGGGAGCCUGGAGUUACCCUUUAGCUCACAAGCUGUCACUUCGGUUUAAAAGUUGACUAUUGGAGAAAAUCCAUGUAGAGCUUCAAGUUCAUGAAGUCCUGCAUAACUGCUCACUGUUACGGCAAGUCUUUUUUCAAGCCUCCCUGUGGUGAGAGAGGGACUUCUGUGCACAUGGGUUUGUCAGCUGCACAACCCAGCCCUCCACAGGGAGAGCAGCAGUGCUUAACAAACCAUAAAACAUUGGGGAGGCUCUGUGAUUCACCAUGAGAAGCAGAAUUUUUCAAGCAUUCUACUACAGUUCAUGUUAGGUGAAGAUAAACCAUUCUUGAUUAAACCUUGAGUGACCUAGGGUUGUAAAGACAGUGGUUGAGAUCCCAACACUGUCCUGUUUGAGGUGCAAUUUAUAUUGACAUGGAUGUUGAGAUCAUUUCUAUAGAUGCUAACAGCAAUUUAUAUGCUUGCUUUUUUUUUUUUCUUUCUUUAGUCCUAGACUACUACAUGAGCUCAGGCUCCACAGGACCUUGCAGAAUGAGCCCCACUGUAAGAAGGUACCUCUCGGUUUAAAUUGUACUAGUUGAUCUGUAUUACACCAGCUGUUUUCCCUCAGCUUUCAAGAUGAUCAAACUAAUGAACUGUAGCAUGCAGUUACGUGGAAUCACCCAGGCCAUGCCAGCUGUGCGCAUUUUGCUGGGGACAAAGCCUGCCACUGCCUUUGCAGAUUGAGGAAUUCUCCAGCACUGGUGUCCUUGAAACAUUUUUCUAUCAACCUGGCUCCAUACAAGUAGCUCCUGUAGCCACAGACAUCCCUGCUGUGCUCAAAGAUGGGGUUUCUUUCUGUUGCUGCCCAAGCCAGGAAGCAGAACUUUAUAGCUGCAGUUGUCUUGGGCCGUGCCCCCCACCACCACCAGUGGUGUGGCAAAAAGAGGGAGGACAAGAACCACUCAAAGCCCUGAUCCACAGCAUCAAGUGAUUUGUUUGUGACCUGUACCACAUUAUCCUCAAGAAGAGUUACAGAUAUGUCCUUUACAGCAUUAACAUGCAAGCUGCAUGUACAGUAUAGGGAAAACUCCAUCACCUUGGGGCACUGACAGAAAGUACUCUUCUGCUGAUGGAAAUGACACACAAUUUCUGCAUCAGUACUAGGGUUAGGAAGGUUGGAGUUUUUUUCUUUAAAAAAUAAGAGCCCAGAUGCUUCCCGUGAUAUAACCCUUUAUCCAAAAAAGGCCACGGGAGCAAGCCAAAAUGUUUCCACUCAAGGGGAGAAAGACUUCCUGGUCAGAAAAGACUUUCCUACUUCUUCAUUGUGUUUUCCAACUCGCUCCUCCAUGUUAGCUGAGCCAAGCCUGGAAGCAGCAUGGCUCAGAGCCAAGGAAUAAGGAUGGUACUGCUGGGCUUUGUUUACUUUGUUGAGGGUGGAGGGAAAGGGUGAAACAGUCACUGCUCCCGACACUCCCAAUGCUACCUUGUUUUUCAUGUCAUUAUUUGAACUGGCAAAUCCUCAUAAAAGCACUGACAACAGUCUGGUGACAUCAUUUCCAUUGCCAGAGGGUGUGUGCCAGCCAAGUGGAGGUAGGCUGUCUUGGGUCCUUAGAGAGACUCCUAUUGCUGUAAUGAUCUGCAGGGGUUAAAGAGCUAUGUCUUUAAGACUUGUCAUCCCUUCAGAGUAUGCUUUUCAAAACUAACAGCCUUAUUUUUUUCAUCAGAAGUUAAUUACACAGUACAAACUGGACCUCAGGUUGCUCAGGAUAGAAGAAACCAAGGAAGAAAGUACUUUCCUAGAUAUACAGUAACUUUGGAAGUGAAAUAUUUUUGCCCCAGAAAAGGAUAGAGGGAGGGAGCCAAACUGAAUAAACUAGUGCUUAAACAGCUCAUUAAUUCUUAGCUUUCCCUGACUACCCAGUAAUCUGCAGCUGGCUGAAGGAGUCCCAGACACCACGACCCUAAACCAGCUCAGAUGCAGAAGACAACUAGGAGAUGUAUUAUGGUGUCCUGCAAUGUGAUGUCAGUACUGACACGUGGUUCACAGACACAGAGAAGCUCUACAGCAAUAAAUACCCUGUCACAGGCCUACUCCCAGAGAAGAAAUACUUCUGAGUCCUUGUCUGACCCUCUGGAUUCACAGGAGCAGUGGAACAUCUCCAGACACAGAGAUAAAUACAAGACUGAGGUUUAAGUUCAGGCUCCCUGUGUGGCCUUGGGUAUGUCACUAACUUGUUUUGCACCUCAGGUGCUCACCUGGGGAUUAGAAACAAGAAUACCUCCUCUUCUAUCCCUUCCAUUUGUUGGCAAUCCCUUCAGGACCAGGCUUCCUUUUACUACAUGUGUAUGUAGCCCAUUACAUAACACUUUAUACAGAUGCUGUUUAAGUUACAAUUCAGGACAUCUGUGCACUCAGAGGGCAAUAUUAUCAUGUCUUGACAUAGAGGAUUGGUGUUACAAGUCAUUUGUCUUGUAGUACUUUUUCAGUCUGACUGGGAUUUGUUCCCUUAAUGAGAUGCAAAGAAAUCUGUGACAUACGAGACUGUGUGACAGUCUUUCUGGACCAGAAGUCCCUGAAAGCCCAUUAAACAUUUAGAGGUCAUCCUGUCAGGUAAAUGCCUUUUUCUUUGUUCAGUUGCUCCCUACACAUACCUAGUCAUAAUGUGGAUGUCUAAUCAGCAGUGGUCCCAAACAUAACUGAACAUGGCCCGGCUCACCAAGUCAAAAUAGUAAGUGAUCCUUCUGCCCAGUCUGGGGAAUUGCAGAAUGUAGUGACUCUAAAUGGUAAGAUCAGACUUUUUUUU